AGAGUUUGAUCAUGGCUCAGAAUCAACGCUGGCGGCGUGCCUAACACAUGCAAGUCGAACGCGAAAGUGGAGCAAUCCAUGAGUAAAGUGGCGACCGGGUGAGUAACACGUGACUAACCUACCUUCGAGUGGGGGAUAACCUCGGGAAACCGGGGCUAAUACCGCAUAACAUCUUCGGGAUGCGAAGCCGAAGAUCAAAGGAGCAAUUCGCUGGAAGAGGGGGUCGCGGCUGAUUAGCUAGUUGGCGGGGUAACGGCCCACCAAGGCUUUGAUCGGUAGCCGGCCUGAGAGGGCGCACGGCCACACUGGAACUGAAACACGGUCCAGACUCCUACGGGAGACAGCAGUGGGGAAUUUUGCGCAAUGGGGGAAACCCUGACGCAGCAACGCCGCGUGGAGGAUGAAGCCCCUUGGGGCGUAAACUCCUUUCGACCGGGACGAUUAUGACGGUACCGGUGGAAGAAGCACCGGCUAACUCUGUGCCAGCAGCCGCGGUAAUACAGAGGGUGCGAGCGUUGUUCGGAAUUAUUGGGCGUAAAGGGCGCGUAGGCGGUGCGGUAAGUCACCUGUGAAAACUCUGGGCUCAACUCAGAGCCUGCAGGCGAAACUCCCGUGCUGGAGUGUGGGAGAGGUGCGUGGAAUUCCCGGUGUAGCGGUAAAAUGCGUAGAUAUCGGGAGGAACACCUGUGGCGAAAGCGGCGCACUGGACCACAACUGACGCUGAGGCGCGAAAGCUAGGGGAGCAAACAGGAUUAGAUACCCUAGUAGUCC
rnacentral:rRNA from 1 species